rnacentral:tRNA from 1 species
GCCGGGAUAGCUCAGUUGGUAGAACAGGGGACUGAAAAUCC